AGAGCAUUCACCUGGAUGACCUUCUGUCUGCUCAGGAGUAAUCAAGUGAUUAUGAAUGGGAUAGCGACUUAGCAGCCAUUCUCCUGCUGGUUCAUCUCUUGCCUCCAACCGCCAAAGGGAAGAAACAUGUCAAAAUUAGUGCAACUGAGGCAGCUGAUCGUUUUGUGAGGCUCAUGAAGGUGGGGACAAGCAUGGUGACAUUCCUUGACAAAGUUGGAUCUGCACAGCCCUUCCUCCUCUGCGUUGGAGAGAAGAAGAGCUGUAUUCAGAAGUUCUACAUCAUCCUUGAUAAGAAGCCCAUUCCUUGUGUGGUACAGAGGGACAAAUGGCUGCCUUCGAUGAACUUUUUAAGGCGCACUUUGUGUUUGCUGUGUCCUACAAUGUAACUCUUCUCAACUUCUACACAUUCAUCCAAACAACAGUUUAUGGGAUUGAUGCAUCAACAACAAAGGAGAGCCCCAGAGUCAAUGAAAUCAGAGUGACAAUUAACAACACUUAAAUAUGCCAACAUGCAACAUUUA